rnacentral:rRNA from 1 species
ACGCUCGACACCUACGGGGGCAGCAGUCGGGAAUAUUGCGCAAUGGAGGGAAACUCUGACGCAGUGACGCCGCGUGCAGGAAGAAGGUUUUCGGAUUGUAAACUGCUUUAGACAGGGAAGAAAAAAGACAGUACCUGUAGAAUAAGCUCCGGCUAACUACGUGCCUGCAGCCGCGGUAAUCUGAGCGGGCUGGCAAGGC